CGCAAACAGGAAGUAGAGAAUUCGUUCUGCACGCAUAGAAGCAGCUAAAAACAACGAUACGGUGCAGGUCUUUCAGUGUAGUUAUUUCUUGUCACGCUUCAGCCUUGGAAAAUAUUUGUUUUUUUACAACAUAAACGUUUUCAAUAUAUUCAUUCAAGAAAAGUCACGCCUUGGGAGUUUUAUUGAAGAAUUAGUUGUUAGCUAUCUGUCUAGCUUUGCAUGGGAAGGCAACUCAAGGGCAGAAUAAUCCUCCAACUCCCGGACAGUCUGUGGUGCAACGUGGCAUUGGUGGAUGGAGCGAGACAUGAUGUCCCAGAUGUGCUCAAUUGGAUUCAGGUCUGAGGAACGGGCGGGCCAGUCCAUAGCAUCAAUGCCUUCCUCUUGCAGGAACUGCUGACACACUCCAGCCACAUGAGGUCUAGCAUUGUCUUGCAUUAGGAGGAACCCAGGGCCAACCGCACCAGCAUAUGGUCUCACAAGGGGUCUGAGGAUCUCAUCUCGGUACCUAAUGGCAGUCAGGCUACCUCUGGCGAGCGCAUGGAGGGCUGUGCGGCCCCCCAAAGAAAUGCCACCCCACACCAUGACUGACCCACCGUCAAACCGGUCAUGCUGGAGGAUGUUGCAGGCAGCAGAACGUUCUCCACGGCGUCUCCAGACUCUGUCACGUCUGUCACAUGUGCUCAGUGUGAACCUGCUUUCAUCUGUGAAGAGCACAGGGCGUCAGUGGCGAAUUUGCCAAUCUGGUGUUCUCUGGCAAAUGCCAAACGUCCUGCACGGUGUUGGGCUGUAAGCACAACCCCCACCUGUGGACGUCGGGCCCUCAUACCACCCUCAUGGAGUCUGUUUCUGACCGUUUGAGCAGACACAUGCACAUUUGUGGCCUGCUGGAGGUCAUUUUGCAGGGCUCUGGCAGUGCUCCUCCUUGCACAAAGGCAGAGGUAGCGGUCCUGCUGCUGGGUUGUUGCCCUCCUACGGCCUCCUCCACGUCUCCUGAUGUACUGGCCUGUCUCCUGGUAGCGCCUCCAUGCUCUGGACACUACGCUGACAGACACAGCAAACCUUCUUGCCACAGCUCGCAUUGAUGUGCCAUCCUGGAUGAGCUGCACUACCUGAGCCACUUGUGUGGGUUGUAGACUCCGUCUCAUGCUACCACUAGAGUGAAAGCACCGUCAGCAUUCAAAAGUGACCAAAACAUCAGCCAGGAAGCAUAGGAACUGAGAAGUGGUCUGUGGUCACCACCUGCAGAACCACUCCUUUAUUGGGGGUGUCUUGCUAAUUGCAUUUUAUUCCACCUGUUGUCUAUUCCAUUUGCACAACAGCAUGUGAAAUGUAUUGUCAAUCAGUGUUGCUUCCUUAGUGGACAGUUUGAUUUCACAGAAGUGUGAUUGACUUGGAGUUACAUUGUGUUGUUUGAGUGUUCCCUUUAUUUUUUUGAGCAGUGUAUAUUAUUAUGUUUUAAUGGCUGGUUAUGACACCUACAUAAGUGUCGAAACUCACAUUUAUUCAAAUGUGUUUUUUCCCUGCCAAGAAGUUUCCUUUCAUUUGAAAGUUUGUUUCUUAAAGUCCUUUGUUGUUGUUGUAAUGAAUUCUUUACAGUCAUGCUUUCUUCGUCAUAUUUUAAGUAAAUUGUAGAAAAUACACUUUACGACACUGUCAAAAAAUAUUAUGACCAUCCUGUGUCACUUUACUAAGAUUAAGAAAAUACACUAUGACGCUGUCAUGAAGCCUUAUGACCAUCAUAAUCAUAUACAUAUCACGUACAUGCCCUUAUGUCAGUCAUCAGUCACAAAGAGGGUGUCUUGUCCUGCUCCUGAAAUCUGCUCCUGCAUUCAUCCCAGUCAUCAGAAACAGAGCAUUGGGGUAGGUGCAAGUCUGACAUUAAUGUGUGCGCAAUUACAAUUAUAAUUUAAUAUGGACAAUUUCAGAAAAUGUCAUAUAACAUUAACAUACAAUUGACAAGUA